GAUGAACGCUGGCGGCGUGCCUAAUACAUGCAAGUCGAGCGAAGAGGGGACGGGUGAGUAACACGUGGAUAACCUCCUAUAAGACUGGGAUAACUUCGGGAAACCGGAGCUAAACCGGAUUUUUAUAGCUGGUUCCGCGGUGUAUUAGCUAGUUGGUAAGGUAACGGCUUACCAAGGCAACGAUGCAUAGCCGACCUGAGAGGGGGAUCGGCCACACGGGAACUGGGACACGGUCCAGACUCCUACGGGGGGCAGCAUUAGGGAAUCUCCCGAAAGGGGCGAAAGCCUGACGGAGCAACGCCGCGUGAGUGAUGAAGGUCUUCGGAUCGUAAAACUCGGUGAUUAGGGAAGCGGUACCUAAUCAGAAAGCCACGGCUAACUACGUGCCAGCAGCCGCGGUAAUUC
rnacentral:rRNA from 1 species